rnacentral:rRNA from 1 species
CUCUUUUUGAUUAAAAUUUAAAGUUGUCUCUGCUCCAUGAUUAAUUAAAUAGCUGCAGUAUUUUGACUGUACAAAGGUAGCAUAAUWAAUUGUUUUUUAAAUGAAAACUUGAAUGAAUGAGUUAAUGAGAUAUAAAUUUUAUUAAAAUAAUAGAUUGAAUUUUAUUUUAAAGUUAAAAAGCUUUAAUUUUUUUAAGGGACGAGAAGACCCUAUAGAAUUUUAUAUAAAUAUAUAUUAAAUAUAUAAAUAUAUUUAUUUGGGAGGAAUAUUUAAUUAGAUAACUUAAUUUAUAAUUUUCAAUUAAUAAUUGUAAAURWUGAUUAUAUUUUAAUAUAUUAAAGAUUAAAUUACCUUAGGGAUAACAGCGUAAUAUUUUUUUAUAGUUCAUAUUGAAAAAAUUGUUU